rnacentral:rRNA from 1 species
AUUGCACGCUGGCGGCAGGCCUAACACAUGCAAGUCGAAAGCGUGGCGGACGUGUGAGUAAUGUAUGGGAAACUGCACGAGGGCGGGGGAUACCUACGGAAACCGGUAGAUAAUCCCGCUAACCAGCGGAUGUGCCCAGAGGGGAUGAGCUAGUAGGUGGGGUAACGGCUCACCUAGGCGACGAUCCCUAGCUGGUCUGAGAGGAUGACCAGCCACACUGGAACUGAGACACGGUCCAGACUCCUACGGGAGGCAGCAGUGGGGAAUAUUGCACAAUGGGCGCAAGCCUGAUGCAGCCAUGCCGCGUGUAUGAAGAAGGCCUUCGGGUUGUAAAGUACUUUCAGCGAGGAGGCGUUACUCGCAGAAGAAGCACCGGCUAACUCCGUGCCAGCAGCCGCGGUAAUAC